UUAAAUGCUAUAACUGCUUGUUCUUCUGGCUAUAUUACUUGCUGGGCAAACUUGUUGCUCAUUCUUGCUUCCUAAAACAUUACAGUUAAGGCAGAGCAAGGCGGUACUUCAGGACAGGACAAGGGAAAGGGCAAGGCGACAGAAUAACUUAGUCCUUAAGACUAGAAGUAUUAUUAUUAUUGUUAUGCUUGUUAUGAUGUAUUCAAGAAUGACUAAGUUAUGUUUAUGUUAAGCACUGAAUUGUCGUAGUAAUGGUUACGGUACCUUGGGACGCAAAUAUUUAUAUUAUAUCAAUGUAAAUUAUUCUAUUAUUUCCGUUGUUAAUGAUUUAGUAAGAUAUUCGUAGUUGUACGUGAUGCACCGAAUUCGAG
rnacentral:lncRNA from 1 species